rnacentral:lncRNA from 1 species
AAUUUCACGUCUUAUCUAUUGUAAAACAGUAUAACUUCCGUGUUAUGAUAUUAUUGUCGUUCAGAUAUAUAAAAUAAAAAACUCAAAUCCUUACCUCGUCCAUGUUGUAUUGUUCCAAAUGAAACUCUAUAUACAGGAUAUAUUUUAGUGAUAAUCCAAAAAAAUCAGAAACUAUUCUGUAUCAAAGUUUCCGACCUCAUCAUAUAUACAGUUUAAACUACGUCCUUUUAGUACACUUGUAAUUGUCCCUUCCGGAUGAGAUAUAAGUGACUAUUGAGUACGACAUCACACAUUUGCAGAUGGAUACUUCACAUUUAGUGGAUUUAAAUGUAAAUUAAAUGAAUUUGUUACAUUAAAUUAAUCCGAUCAACAUUAAUCAGGAGUCUAAAAUUCAACUUUUAAACUUCCUUCUCUAGUCCAUGUGACCAAAUCUUAAUGUAGGUAAAAAUGUCAUUUAAACCUCUGUUUGUACCUGACGAAUAUCUCGGUACAUAAGUUUGUUAACUUUUCAAUCGACCCGAUGACACAUACCAAUCUUACAUAUUCGAAACAACCACGUACUACAAGUUUUUACCUUGUAAACUUGUAAGUGAAAACCAAUGUUAAAACCAUUUCGAAUUCAAUUAGCC